rnacentral:lncRNA from 1 species
AAACAUUACUGGAUUUGAAGUGAGAGAGAACGCAGAUGAGAGCCAAUGUUUAGCAGCAACACCGAUCGUGGUUUAGCAGCCAUUGUAACGAGGACGUGGAGAAGAAGGGAUUGAAGAAGGGGUUCAAGGGAGAUGAAGAUGGCGGCCAUACGUCUGACAUAUUUUCCGGAGUUUCAGCGGCAGGGACAAGAAGCUAGGGUUCCGGCGAAGAUCCGACAAGGUUCUGGUGAGCCAACUAUGGUGUAGGUGCUCUGGUGACUGAUCUAAAGUGGGAUUAAGCUUUGGACAGAAUUCUUGCAGUGGUGACGGUAGCGGUUCCACAGACUUUGGAAAACCUCCGGUUCUUCGUCUCUUUCAUUAAUUAACAUAUGUUAUGCCAUUGUUUAAUUGUUAGAUAAUUUUUAGUUGGAGACAUUGCUUUUGAGACAUCUGAAGUGGAUUCUUCAAAAAUGAGACCGAUGCCGUCACAAUCAAUACAUUCGGGAAGUUGCAAUCUUUUUAUCUGGAGUAAUCACCAGCAAAGAGAGUACUAAAGUAUAUGCAACCUAUGGUAAAUGCAGUUGAAAAGUCAGAAAUGCUAAAACGUCAUGACAAAGAAGAUACUCAUUGUGAUGGGAUUUACAGUAGAAAGAUAGAAAGAAUGACAAAGAAGGUAAAACCCAGCUAUACACACCUUCAAGGUGUUGGCACCACUGCCAAUAGGAUGUGCAGUCUUCAUGGUGCACUUGGCAACCAUUCCGAUCACCAACACCAGAUUCAACCCAGCCAGAAGCUGCCGGUCGGUGAAGAAUGACGCUGGUGACGGGUUAACCGGUGCUACUCGGGGCUGUUGUGGAGCAUAUAUGGGAUAGUAGGAUUCGAGGCAAAGCGGGUCAAACAUGAUCAACUCGAUCCAAAAGAGCAGUCAUCGUGGACAAACUUUGGACAAAUUGUUAAGCAGCUACAAGAGAGUUUGACUAAAACCGGCUUCAACGAUGAGCAAAGAGCUACAUUAUGGAAAAGAUGAAGUUGAGGGAGAGGGGAACAGAAUACCGGCCUGGUUCAGUAUCCAUCGGCAGCCCACAACAUGUUAACCAAACCAGGUUGGCAAUAGUUGCUGGUCCAACAAGUGGACACGGUCAAAUGUUAAUAACGUCAGCACCUACUCUUGAUGUUGAUUGGCACAACGUCUCAUUUGCAACGUGUUCAAUUGAUAACAUGAUUUAUGUUUGUAAAGUUGGAGAUUAUAGACCUGUAAAAGCUUCUGUGCGGCAUCGGGUGGUUUCAUGUUUGUGAGUUAAUUGAAGGCAUUGACUAGAACGUUUUGCGUUGGGGGACGAGUUAGGAGUCCCAAGAGGAACUUACCAUGGCAUUGGCUCGCAAGGGCCAUGUCAACGUUCUCUUCGCCCCGCUCAAACUGCACCACAUUUGAGUGCUUUUAGACUUUUGUCAUUAUAGCUGCCUUGAUUUAGAUGAACUAAAGAGUUGAAGAGCUCGACUUUUCAGCUACAAUGGACUGGAGAUAGCUAUAGUGAACUGGAGAUAGCUACAGGAGGGUUUACAGAAGAUUAAUCACAAGUAGGAAAAAUGUAGUUUAUUAAUAUGAUUGCAAAGAGGAGGGUUCACAGAAGAUGAAUCACAAGUUAAAGAUUAAUAUGAUUGCAAAGAGGAGGGUUUACAAGUAGGAAGGUAGUUUGUUAAUAUGAUUGCAAAGAUGCAAUGAUUAGUAUUAUGAUAGAAACCCGAGUCCAAUGUUGGGUCAAAAAUAAUUCGGGUUAUGAGUUGUAAUGUAAUGAUUCG